rnacentral:misc_RNA from 1 species
AAAAAAAGCAAAAAAGGGGAAGAAAAGAUAAAAACUUCACCAUGCCAAUUAGCCAAGUUAGAAGAAUGACGAUGAUAAGAUCUCUCAUAUAGAGUAUCGAGUUUUUAAGAAUCGUCUUCUGAGGGAUAACUCCUUCUUCCCCUUUAAGAUGACUAGAGACCUUAGCAAUUGGUACUCCCUGGCCUUCCUCUUCCUCAAGAAUGACAAAGUUGGUAGAUGGAUGAGAAUCAACUAGAGGAUCAUCUGUUGUAGGAUCAGCACAAG